rnacentral:rRNA from 1 species
UACCGACACAGGUGGUCGGGUAGAGAAUACCAAGGCGCUUGAGAGAACUCGGGUGAAGGAACUAGGCAAAAUGGCACCGUAACUUCGGGAGAAGGUGCGCCGGCUAGGGUGAAGGAUUUACUCCGUAAGCUCUGGCUGGUCGAAGAUACCAGGCCGCUGCGACUGUUUAUUAAAAACACAGCACUCUGCAAACACGAAAGUGGACGUAUAGGGUGUGACGCCUCCCCGGUGCCGGAAGGUUAAUUGAUGGGGUUAGCGCAAGCGAAGCUCUUGAUCGAAGCCCCGGUAAACGGCGGCCGUAACGAUAACGGUCCUAAGGUAGCGAAAUUCCUUGUCGGGUAAGUUCCGACCUGCACGAAUGGCGUAACGAUGGCGGCGCUGUCUCCACCCGAGACUCAGUGAAAUUGAAAUCGCUGUGAAGAUGCAGUGUAUCCGCGGCUAGACGGAAAGACCCCGUGAACCUUUACUGUAGCUUUGCACUGGACUUUGAGCCUGCUUGUGUAGGAUAGGUGGGAGGCUUUGAAGCGUGGACGCCAGUUCGCGUGGAGCCAUCCUUGAAAUACCACCCUGGCAUGCUUGAGGUUCUAACUCUGGUCCGUAAUCCGGAUCGAGGACAGUGUAUGGUGGGCAGUUUGACUGGGGCGGUCUCCUCCUAAAGAGUAACGGAGGAGUACGAAGGUGCGCUCAGACCGGUCGGAAAUCGGUCGCAGAGUAUAAAGGCAAAAGCGCGCUUGACUGCGAGACAGACACGUCGAGCAGGUACGAAAGUAGGUCUUAGUGAUCCGGUGGUUCUGUAUGGAAGGGCCAUCGCUCAACGGAUAAAAGGUACUCCGGGGAUAACAGGCUGAUACCGCCCAAGAGUUCAUAUCGACGGCGGUGUUUGGCACCUCGAUGUCGGCUCAUCACAUCCUGGGGCUGAAGCCGGUCCCAAGGGUAUGGCUGUUCGCCAUUUAAAGUGGUACGCGAGCUGGGUUUAGAACGUCGUGAGACAGUUCGGUCCCUAUCUGCCGUGGACGUUUGAGAUUUGAGAGGGGCUGCUCCUAGUACGAGAGGACCGGAGUGGACGAACCUCUGGUGUUCCGGUUGUCACGCCAGUGGCAUUGCCGGGUAGCUAUGUUCGGAAAAGAUAACCGCUGAAAGCAUCUAAGCGGGAAACUUGCCUCAAGAUGAGAUCUCACUGGGAACUUGAUUCCCCUGAAGGGCCGUCGAAGACUACGACGUUGAUAGGCUGGGUGUGUAAGCGUUGUGAGGCGUUGAGCUAACCAGUACUAAUUGCCCGUGAGGCUUGACC